rnacentral:rRNA from 1 species
AACGAACGCUGGCGGCAUGCCUAACACAUGCAAGUCGAACGAGACCUUCGGGUCUAGUGGCGCACGGGUGCGUAACGCGUGGGAACCUGCCCUUAGGUUCGGAAUAACUCCCCGAAAGGGGUGCUAAUACCGGAUAGUGUCUUCGGACCAAAGAUUUAUCGCCUUUGGAUGGGCCCGCGUUGGAUUAGCUAGUUGGUAGGGUAAAAGCCUACCAAGGCGACGAUCCAUAGCUGGUCUGAGAGGAUGAUCAGCCACACUGGGACUGAGACACGGCCCAGACUCCUACGGGAGGCAGCAGUGGGGAAUAUUGGACAAUGGGCGAAAGCCUGAUCCAGCAAUGCCGCGUGAGUGAUGAAGGCCUUAGGGUUGUAAAGCUCUUUUACCCGGGAUGAUAAUGACAGUACCGGGAGAAUAAGCUCCGGCUAACUCCG